rnacentral:tRNA from 1 species
UAAAUAAAAACUGAUAUUAGUGAUUGAUUGUUGGUCAAUUUGGUGUGGGAGGUUUCCCAUUUAUUUAG